UGAUUCCUACCUUUAGAAAUUGAGAUAUUUUGUGAGGACAGUACAUAGUUCAGUUUUAAAAAAUAUUCUUUAGGCACUUGAAUAAUUAUUUUUUAAGUAGUAAAAGUGCUAUUUUAAAAUAGAACAAAAUUGAAAUGUAAUAGAUAAUUCUGCACAUUAUGUGACUUUUUGUGGUACUUCUACUGGACAAUUCAUGGAAAAGGCCAAUAAAUGUACAACUCAGAAUAUUAUUGACUCUCCUUACUAAACAUAAAGAUGUUCAGAUAUUUGGUCUAAACUGUUUUCUCAGCCAAAUCUCUGCUUUGACAGCAGUAAGUAACUUCAUGGCACUGUUUUGUCUUCUCCUUCUUUCAAAUCAGUAUUGGUACACUGAAUCAACUUAAAGCCCAGUUGCUUUAUCUCAGACAUUUGAAUGCUAGACUUGGCCCUACUUAUUCAUAUUGAUGUGGUAACUUUUCCUGAAUAUGUUUGAAAAUUUUUAGUGAGGUAAAAAUUUAGUCAGUUAUAAAAUUGGAGUAAUUAAGGGGAAAAAAAAGCAGAAUCAACUAAAGUCCACAACCAGGAUUUCAAUAGCAAAUAAGCUGCAGUCUGUAUAGUUGUAGGUAAUUAGUUCCACAUUCAUUGACUGUUAGAAAAUGCUCUGGCACUGACUCACAGAAAAACAAGGACACAUGAAAUACCUUGUCAAUUUUUGUCUUAGUAAACAUUUAGAAUUAGAAGCUAAAAGAGGCAUCAAAGAGGACGAUAAAUUAGCAUUUAAAAUGAUAAUGCAUUAGUAAAAUGACCUACAAAUUUAUGAGAUUAUGAGCAAGAAAGAGCUAAAUACGCAAUGUGUCUCAUAUAGGAGAGAAGUUCCUGCUAAUUCUGCAUCCCACCGUAAUUUGUUAUUGUCUAAUGUCUUUCAAUUGUGGUUGCCUAUAGACAAGAUCCCCAGCUACAGAAGACUCUUAUAAGCAUCAAACACACCAUAAUUUGUGAAUAUUUAUGCAGAUAUAUGAGUGAGCCUGAAAGAACACUAACUCUCUGAAAUGAAUGAUUAAACAAAAAUAUUUCAGUGACUAGUGUUCUAAGAUAAUUCACACCAAAUUUUUAUUUAUUACUUUUAAAUUUUACAUAUUAAAUGACAGUGAUUUAACUCCAUUGGAUGGAGUGUUUUUGAACAAUUUUACUGACCUCUCUAAGGUGUGUUUCUUUACCUAUGAAAUGAGAACACUGAAUUGGAAACUAGAUUAUCUAGAAGUUCCUUUCAGUUAGAGAAUCUUGAGUGCCAUUGAUACUGAUGUCUAUUGAAGGAAAGAACUGUGAAGAGUCUAAGAUUUUAUCCAACUUGCAAACUAAUAAGUUACUCUGCCACACCUUCAUGGAUGCUAGCUUAAGACAGAAAGACUCCUAAGUCAGAGACAAAGGACUUUAAUUAUUACUUACUGCACUUCAAUAAGCACCAUUAGUGCCAGUUCCCAUUGCACCCCAAGUCGUAUAGGAACAAUGCACAGCCCCAGGGAGCUACUCUGCAGGAAGGGAGUUUGUGUCACAACUGAGAAACUCCAUGCUUAGGGAACCCUAGUGAUUUAUAUAAAAUGGACUGCAACCAACCUGCCCAAUCUUUGCCCCAAAAGAAGAGAUCUUUAGUACACUGGAAAGUAAACAAACCUGGUUUGUUGUCUUCUGCUCUAGGGGGGUCACUGUUUUUAUUUCCUAAGGCUUUAAGUAUCUAAACAUUAAAGUUAGUCUGGAACAAUGUCUGUGAGCACCACUGUUCACAAGAUGUGCAGAAAUUCAAGAGGCUUGUGGAAUAUUGUCUCAGUAUCACCUCACCCAAAGGAGAAAGUCAGUUAACAUCCUCUAAAUAAUUCAUAUGUGUACUAAAUAUCACUACAGAUUGUUACAAUUUAUGCACAUGUACAUAAUGAUAUGUUCAUGCAUAAUUAGGCAGUCCAUUAUUUCAACUUUAAUAUCAAACUGUUAAUGCUUUUUUCAUUUAUAAGUUUCUUAUUAGAAAACUAUCUUCAAGUUACUUAUUGUUGAUGUAUUUUUUCUUUUUUUAAGCUAAUAUAUUCUCAUUGUAAAAUACACUAUUAACAUAUUGUUAGACUACACAGACACACACACACACAUAUAUGUAUAAUUUAUAUGUGUAUACACUCACACAUACUAGUGGAUAUCUGCUAAUUUUUUGUCUAAAAAAAAUUGGUAUGAAUGUCUUAGAAUGCUAGGCACUGAAAGAUUUUUGUUUAAUCAUCUAUUUCAGAGAGCUAGUAUUCUUUCAGGCUCCCUGGCACAUAUGCAUAAAUUCACACAAAAUAUGGUGUAUUUGAUGCCUAUAAGAUCUCUUAGAAUCACCUCUUUUCUGUUACAUGGAUUCACAUGGCAAAGUACAAUUAUGGGAUCCAGUCUUGGGUCCUUUUGUGACGUCAACUCAUGAAUUAUGUGUCCUACAAUAACCAAGUGAUUAAACAAAUGUCAGGGAGAGUGUUCAGAAUAGUUUUGAUCCUGUAGAAGAGAAAGUUUUAUUCUUUUCUGUUGGACCAUGUGACAGCCAUGAGAAUGCACCUCAGAGACCUUCAAACCAGGGCGCUUGCUUGGCUAUGAUCUCUAGUUGUUGUGCUCUGAAAUCCAUCACCACAUCUGCAUCAAAGCCAUGCUUGCUACGCUGCUCCCAGCCAAUGCUGGCAUGCAGCACAGAUAUGAAGGCAGACUCAUUCCUGGGAGAUACAGGACUCUUACAGUAACCAACUUUGACUUCACUCCCUGUUGGUCCUGCCUGGAAUUUUCUGUAGAUUACAUAAGAGCCUAUAAUGCUUCCACCUUUCUUUUCCUAUUUCCCUCUGGGUCAGACUUAUACUGUGGUCCGACAGCUUACCUGUCUAUCCCAGUUCCUUUCCCAUUUUCUCCCACAAGUAUUUUCACUGAUAAAAUCUUUGCAUGUUUAAUCAUGUUUACAUGUCUGCUUUUCAGAGGACCUGACCAACAUAGGUCACUGGCUCUUAAUAGGAUCUAGAAGUUCUGGUGAGAUUAUUUUGACUGUCAUGUUUCCCCAACAUGGAAACACAGAGGACAAUGCAGGCAGAGAGGUGAAGUCAAUGGAUAAUAUUUGUUGAAUCCCUAUAGUCAGUGAACUUGAAGCCAGAACCAUCUUGGGAUUCUAUAGUCCAAAAACCAUGAAAUCCCCUUCUUUUUUUACCACUCUCUUCUCCUCCAUAAGAACAAGAACUACUGUCCAUCUUCCUUCAUGAGAGUAGAAUCAGAAUUGAUCCAGAUUGCCUCUGAAUAAUACCCAGUGCUGGUACAGAGCUGGUAACAUAGUAGAUACGCCAUACACAUUUGUUGAAUAAAUAAAAUUUAAAAACGUUUUAAUUCUCCCUUGUAACUUCUAACCACUUUAAGGCUGAAUUAUCACAGAAGUACAAAGGAUGUCCAUGGAACCACGUAUGCUUCCUCAGUCCAGGGGAUCCAGUGGAUAGAACCUUUGUUGUGUUCCCUUUCUAAUGCAGGCAAAGGGUCUGUACAAUCCACCCUUGGAAGAGAAGAAAAGCUCUAAUUUUGCUCUCUCUCAAGCUACAUGUCAACAACUCUUUUUUUUUUUUUUUUUUUUUUUAAGAGCCACAUUCUCUUGUUCCAUCCAAUUAACAUUUCCACCUGGAUGGGCCCUGUUGGAGCAAACAAGAAUUUCCCACAAAAAAAUUAACUGUUUUUCCAUAAUACAACAUUUUAAUUUAGACUUAUUUGUUCCCAAACAAAUAAAACCUACCAAAAUUUACUAAAGCUAAAAACCAAACAAACGGACUAACAAAAACAGCAUAAGAGUUACUAUGAAAAUUCAAGGUGCCGUAGGAAUUCUGGGACCAGCAUGCAGUUAGACUUCAAGAAUAAAAGUUACUAGAAAGCAUCAAUAGUUUCUCUCAGUCUUUCAUAUGUAUUCCACACAGUCACUAUGCAAUUCCAAUCACAUGGAGAUUAACUCUUUGGCUCUCAGUACCAAUUGCAAAUACCCAGGAGGGAGAAUACAGCCUGGCUUGGGGAUGGAUUCACUCCUGGUAUUACUAACAUGACUGCCUGGUAUCCAGAUUUUCAUUUAUGAAAGAGGAGUUAAAAGGCGAGAACAAUUCCCUCCAAAAGGAGUAAUUAUUAUUACCUGGAACACAUUCCAAAACAUGACUUCUAUCUCAGGUACCAAAUAAACAUUAUUUUCAUCCUAAUAAGCGUUUUGAAAUGAUGAAAUUUUCUUUUUGCGUUUUUUCUUUCUUCAUAAGAUUGUUGACUGAGUUAUACCUUCUGUUGAGUGAGAAAAGACACAAGACAGUAGUAGGAAUAUUAUAGAGUAAUGGAGAGUCAUCUUACACCAUGUAUAGCACCUGAAUCUACCAGCAAAUUGCAAGCUGAGGCUGUUGUGAAAUGUAUUAGUCAAGUAUGGAUGUAUGUUCUGUUUUUAUAACCUAAAGUUGUAAGAACACCUAUAACAAGAGAAGAGAAGAUUGGAGUGGUAAGUAAAAUAUCUUCACCUGCAUUCCAAAGUUAGCUUUGGAAUGUUCCCAAAUACUUUAUAGACAAAAACAACUAAAGUCAUAAAACUGACUGCUCUAAAUAAAGAGGUUAUGGUUCAGACAUUAUGGUUCUACAAAUCAUAACUGAAGAGUUUCUGUCAAUUUUUCUUUAAGACAUCUUUAUAAUGCUGAUAAAAUCAAAGAGCCUUGCUUGUAAUUUAUCAUGUUCAUAUGUAUAGCUUUUAAAACUUAAAAAUUUAUUUUCUGUUAAUUUUGGUUUCAGGCUACAUAGCCUAUUUGAUGUUACAUGAUAAUGUACAUUAAAGCCUAGACUUAGAGGAGUCUCUGAUAGCCCCAAGUUAUUUUGCGAGGUGAAUGUGAAUGUACCCUCACAUUAAAGAGCCAUUUGCUUUGUGAUUAUUAGAGAUUUUUGGUUUUUUGUUUGUCUUUUUCUGUUUCUUCUGAGCCAUUCAGUCAUGCAGUCAAUAUUUGUUGGGUGCCAACUAUGUGAUAAACUCUGAUUUGCGCACUUAUUAAGGAAACAGAACAGAUGAUAUUGCUUGUCAAUGAAGUGCGUAUUUUAGAGGGAGGAGGAGAACAAAAAAGAAGCAAAUACGUAGUAUGCCAGAGGAUGAUAAAUGUUGUGGAGGCAAAAAAAAAAAAAAAAAAAAAAAAAACAAAUGGCAAAAGAUAUGUCAGUAUGUUGAGGGUAACAACUGCAAUUUUGAAAAGGCCUCACUAGAAGUUAAAAUCAGAGCAAAUACUUGAAGGAAAUAGAUUCUAGAGGAAGGGAAUUUCAAAGUGAGGACAUAGUCAAUGAAGAGGCUCGAAGACAUGAGGAGUGGCCUGGGUUUGAUAUUUCUGAAAGAUAACCAGAGAAAAGAUAAUUUUUGUCUAACUAUAGCAGAGAGAGCAAUAGAAAGAAUGAGAUGUGAACAGUUCAGAGCAAGUUGAUUUCAUUUUAUGUCUUUGUAUCUUUGACAUUAUUUGUGUCCAAUAACCUAAAGAAACUACUUUGAAAGAAUUAUUGGUGUUUGCUUAAUAAUUAUUUGAUAGUCACUUAUAUCAAGGAUAACUGUCCUGUUUGACAGAUGAUGUAGUAGUUUCCAGAUGUUAAUUUUUGGUUAUCUUCCAGCAAGUUUAAAUUAUUGAUUCCAGGUGUGCUUUCUUUUUGUUCUUAGACAUAUGUAAUACUAAAAAAAUAUCUAAAAGUAUCUAGCCUGGAAGUCCAGUAUUGUAAUAAAAGCACAUGAGUUAGUAGCAUAAGGUAAGGACGGUAUAGUUUAAAGUUCUCAUUACUGGUAAGCGGCAAGAGAAAUACACAUUAGCUGUAACUAGAAAUGAAAUUACUCUUUUAACAUUUACAUCUUCUUUAACCCAGUUCUGGCCCAUAGUCCUCAUAAGGGCAACCUUUGUAUCUACAACUAUUAUUUUCUAUUUUCUAGUCAUAUUGAUUUAAUCAGGGAUGAACAAUGACCCAAGCUGGAAUAACCAUGUUCUCUUUCCAAAAAUGUUGGGAUAUCAAAACAUAAACUGAAACACCACGUUAUAUUGCUGUUAGAAAUUGGAACUGUAAAUUUAUGGAGAGAAGAGGGAAUGCCAGGGAAAAAAAGCCAACCAGAUUCUUCUGUUGCAAGCUAAAAUUACUAAAAAGUAUAAUCUAGAACUUUGCAAGCAAGCAUCUUCUAUGGGAAAGUGAUAUACUAUACCUUUUCACAAGGCUAGAAUGUGAGGCCAGGCAAACAUAUACUUCAUUGAAGGCCUGGCAAUAUUGCUUGCCGUUGUGUUCCAUGAGCUCGUUUUUCUCUUUAUGAUAAACAUCCUAUUAACUUGGGCCUUUUUGAAGGGGUUCCAUUUCUUUCAACCUAAGAGCUCUACUACUGUUAAAGACUGGAU